rnacentral:rRNA from 1 species
UACGUAGGGGGCAAGCGUUGUCCGGAUUUAUUGGGCGUAAAGAGCGUGUAGGCGGUUUGGUAGGUCCGCUGUGAAAACUCGAGGCUCAACCUCGAGACGCCGGUGGAAACCAUCAGGCUAGAGUCCGGAAGAGGAGAGUGGAAUUCCUAGUGUAGCGGUGAAAUGCGCAGAUAUCAGGAAGAACACCCGUGGCUAAGGCGGCUCUCUAGUACGGUACUGACGCUGAGACGCGAAAGCGUGGGGAGCGAACAGG